GUCAGGAGGAAUUUGAAAGGGGGGAGAGAGAGCAGGCUGAAGCUGAGAAGAUUGAAGAAGAAGGUGAGAUUAAACAAUCUGAGCAGGAAAGGGAGGAGAAGAGGCUCCGGGCGCGUAGGCGUAUGUUGGGAAAUAUUAGGCUCAUUGGGGAACUUUACAAGAAGAAGAUGCUGACAGAGCGAAUCAUGCAUGAGUGCAUCAAGAAGCUGCUAGGUCAGUAUCAGAAUCCCGAUGAGGAAGAUAUUGAAGCCUUGUGCAAGUUAAUGGCUACUAUUGGAGAGAUGAUAGAUCAUGCGAAGGCAAAG
rnacentral:misc_RNA from 1 species